rnacentral:rRNA from 2 species
GAGUUUGAUCCUGGCUCAGAUUGAACGCUGGCGGCAUGCUUUACACAUGCAAGUCGAACGGUAACAUGGGUGCUUGCACCUGAUGACGAGUGGCGAACGGGUGAGUAAUACAUCGGAACAUGCCCAAUUGUGGGGGAUAGCUCGGCGAAAGCCGGAUUAAUACCGCAUAAGAUCUAUGGAUGAAAGCAGGGGACCUUCGGGCCUUGCGCGAUUGGAGUGGCCGAUGGCAGAUUAGGUAGUUGGUGGGGUAAAGGCCUACCAAGCCUGCGAUCUGUAGCUGGUCUGAGAGGACGACCAGCCACACUGGGACUGAGACACGGCCCAGACUCCUACGGGAGGCAGCAGUGGGGAAUUUUGGACAAUGGGCGCAAGCCUGAUCCAGCAAUGCCGCGUGCAGGACGAAGGCCUUCGGGUUGUAAACUGCUUUUGUACAGAACGAAAAGUCUCUGGUUAAUACCUGGGGAUCAUGA